rnacentral:lncRNA from 1 species
UGUUUAUUUAACGCACUUAUUUAUUUCCUGCAAAUUUUAAUUUCCGCAAGUUUACGCUAAAAAAUUUUAUUAUAACGCUAUUCACCCCCCCUUUAGCGUUAAGCGUAUUUUCUAACAGUGCGAGCUUCAUCGUCCUACCUAUAGCCUGUAAUUCUCAGAUCCUGUAAGCUUCAUAGGGAUCAGAACAAUGACUAGAGUAUUUGCUUGACCUAUAUACAAUGGAUAUGUGAAAUUGUUGAUUUCACCAUAACUGAUUCCCGCAUUGUAACAAUCUCAGAGAAAUUAGAAAUUGAUAUUCAAGGAUCGAUCGAUGACUGAGAAUCUAAUUGACUUGUACCCGCUCUGAUACCAUGCUAAAUUUGCUCUUAUACUGAGCAAAUUUGCAAUAGCCCCGCACUCCUCUAAUUGCGGAAGCUUCUAGAGCACAAAAAUGAAGAAGAAGCAGACAUUGCAAAAAUAAUUCUCUUCGAAUCUUUCUUUGAAGAUACAGGGUAAUAUUUAUACAAGUAAUGAGCCUAACUAACAUUAACUUAUGAGUUGAACACGAGUUGGCAUUAAGUAUAUAUAUAUAUAUAUAUAUUAGCUGAUUAACUGACACACUAACUAUCAUAACUACCACUAACUAAUUUGAGCUCAUAAGAGUAUUCUAUAUAUGACUUAAGGUUUGUCUUGAAAUCCAACUUAAGAUCGUGAUUUGGAGUGAGUAGAUAUCUACAUGAGCAUUACAAUAAAUUUUCUUCUCUCAAUUUCUACUAUCUUUGUUUUUGGGUGAUAUAUAUAUAUAUAUAUAUAUAUAUAUAGGUUGAUUUUUAGUCGUAUCACAUUUUACAGCAGAGCAUACAAGAAUAUGAGAAAUGUAAUGUUUCAUAAUAGUAUUUGAGGCAAUUUUCUUGGUCCGUAUUAGCGCUUUCUCCUACAAUGUGAAUGAUUGCUUUUUCAUGGAUAAAAGACGUUUGAUAAAUUUAUUUCUUAAAAAUAUUCAAUUAUGUCGGCGAUCGAGAAAGAUGAAAAGGGUUAAGACGCCAAGCCCAUAAGUGCUCCUCUCUUCUUCAAGGCCGUCGAGAGUCAAGACUCUACUCAAGUGAUUUUAUUUUGCCUCUCUCUUAUUUUUGGAAACAGCCUCUCUAUCUCAAGGGUAGGGAUAAGGUUUGCGUACACACUAUCCUCCCAAGACCCCACUAAGUGGGAUUAUACUGGAUUGUUAUUGUUGUUGUCUUCCUUUAUUAUGAUACGUCUUAUUUUUGUUGUGAUUAAUUAGCUUGAGUUUUCGGGUUGAACUGUUUCUUUAUGCUUCAUCCUAUGUUCAUCUCUUGUUAUUAUAGUGUUUUUGUUGAUGGAAUCCUCAAUCUUUCCAGUUGUAUGGAAUGUAUUUUAGAAUUUUUUUAGCCCUGUUAUAUUUUUAUCUAUGCCGCGGCGGCUUUUCAAAAUGCUAUUGCAUCCGUAUCGGAUCCCCCAAAAUAUACUACUUUUGAAGAAUUUGAUAGAUAUUUGAUAUUAUUUUUGAAGAGUCCAAAAAAUAUAGAUUUUUAUUGACAUUCAAAUUAAUUUUUACCAGUUUAUCAUCUAUUCGUGAAACCAUAAAACAAGAUUAUUCCUAAUUUAUAAAGAGCAAAACUAAUGUUGUUUUGCUCCAAUUACUAAAAGUUUUUUUUUUGGGAAUUAAUACUCCUUGACAAUUGUAUUAGCCUUUUUAAAAUGUUAAGUUCUCUCAAACCAGAUUAACUGUUUAUAUUUAUCCUCAUGUUUAGUUGACAUUAAGCACAGGUACUCGACAGUAUGAAUUGAGCAAAAUGCCAAUGACAAUAAAGUUGACAACGAAAACAUAUCCAUAUUAUCAUAUAUAAGGACUAAGAAUGUUAAUGUGUACGUAGACGUUGCCCCACCUAAUUUGUAAAUUUAUUUAUAGGGUUUGAAUGAUCAUGUUAAUAUGUACUCAUUUAAACAUGAAUACAAAAAAAUUGACUGAACUAACUAAUAAAGUCUGGUGAACCUGCACUCGUUUUGUCUAAAAUUAUAAUUUGUGGCUAGUUAAGCCCGAGAAAUAAAAAAUAGUCAAGAGAAAUGAAGCAGUGGAACAAACAUAACUAAUUUUCACAAUUAAUAAAUAAAAUUAUUUU